UCUACGGUGCAGUAAAACUGACGUUAACUCGAUAUUCUUUUGAUCGAUGUUUCGACUGAUCCAUACUUGCCUAAUUUUCUCUGAAGAGUCCUUCGGUACGAAAGAAACAUGAGAGGGAACGAGAGGGAUAGAAAGAGUCGGCAAGAGGGAGAAAAAGUGUUAAGAGGUUAAAGACGCUGAAUGACACCCACCUUUCGCUGGGACAUUCCGAUUUGAAACCAGCAAGAAGAAAGUCCCAUUUGUUUAGGCAAAUCGGGACCGUUUCCGUCGGUUUCUUAGAGAGGAAUUAGCGUCGGCCUAAGGAUUAGACAGACACAGCGGCUUGUGUCUGGUCUUGGGACAAAGGCAGCAGUUUAAAGAUUAGGCCCGAAUGCAUUUGCUCUAAUAGAGGCACCAGACAGUUUAAAUGAUGUAUCAAAUACUCAUACCCCGGUCAAGCAACGAAAAUCUUGACAAAGACUCAUUGUUGACCCUCAUCGAGGCAACAACUGUAUCGACAGAUCUUUCGGUCAAGUUCAAGUGACAUUUGAGAAAUCAAUCAAGUCGUACAAAGAAUCAAAAGCAAAGGAAUCGCUGUGUCUGCCCAAUACUGGCAGUACACGGCAUCGAUUUAAUGUUCUUUGUGCCUCUGAAAAAGAAAACCAGACAGACUUAGUGGUAGCUCGUGUGUACUUCUAGAGCCCUGCUACUGUCAACAAAUCGAAACUUUUACUAUCAAGAAUUUUGUCAUCAAAAUUUUCUACCAUCGAUCUAUAAAUCAUGAAAGUAAUCAAUGAAUUUUAUAAGUUAAUCUGCAACAUCUUUUAAAAAUCAAAUACAAUGUAUCGAAACGAGUGUUUAGGGUUAUUUAAAAGUAUAUACAAAGACACAUUGAAGUUAGAAAAUGGUACAGCAUUGCAUCCUAAAUUUAACCUCUUGCAAAUAAAAUUUCAACUGCGAAAGGUUGAAUUUAGUGUGAGAAACCUGUGUAACAGGACAUACGAAAGUUGAAGGUUAGGUUAUGACAGACCUUCCGAUUCGCAGGGCUCUAUCAUAUUGGAAUGGAAGUAUAUGAAACGCCGAAACGCAUCACACAGACACACACCGCUACUUGCACAGAUGCCAGCUGGUCUACUCUAACGCAUCACUGGCUAAUCCAAUAAGUGUUGCCAAUUCCCAUGAGCGUCUCUGUCUUUGCUCAGACACGGUUCGAAGAGGCUUCGCAGCUCUGAAUCUUACUUACCGAGGCCCCGGGCAGCAACAUCGGUGGCCACCAGGAUCGGAGCUCUACCACUGCGGAACUCCUGCAACACGUGGUCCCUUUCUUGCUGUUCCGAUCUCUUGAAGCAGUCUGAACAGCUUGACAUCCUUCUCAAAUUCCUGGCAGACGUCGACGAUUUGAACGAUGUUGUGGUUGGCAGAGAGAGUCAAGGAGCCGAUGUUAAGGAAAUCUAUCAGUCUGCCUGGAGUGGCGAUGCAUAUUUCCACUCCUCGUUCCAAGUCUUGAGCCUGGGGUCCCUUCGGAGCUCCUCCAAAGAUACAGGUGUUCCUGACGGAAGCUUGUUCGCCGAAACAAUUGGCCA